AAAUCCGCUUUGAUAAUGCUGGGAUGUGAUGGGGAGCGAAAUUUAGUAGCGAAGUAGCUGAUUUCACACUGUCAAGAAAAGUCUCUAUCGAGGUUAAAGGUACCCGUACCGCAAACCGACACAGGUGGGUGAGGAGAGUAUCCUAAGGCCAGCGAGAGAACUGUUGUUAAGGAACUCGGCAAAAUGACCCCGUAACUUAGGGAUAAGGGGUGCCACCAUCAGGUGGCCGCAGAGAAUAGGCCCAAGCGACUGUUUACCAAAAACAUAGGUUUCUGCUAAGUCGCAAGACGAUGUAUAGGAGCUGACGCCUGCCCGGUGCUGGAAGGUUAAGGGGAUCUGUUAGAGCAAUCGAAGCAGUGAACUUAAGCCCCAGUAAACGGCGGCCGUAACUAUAACGGUCCUAAGGUAGCGAAAUUCCUUGUCGGGUAAGUUCCGACCCGCACGAAAGGCGUAACGAUUUGGGCACUGUCUCAACAACAGACUCGGUGAAAUUGUAAUUCCGGUGAAGAUGCCGGAUACCGGCGACAGGACGGAAAGACCCCAUGGAGCUUUACUGUAGCUUGACAUUGGGUCUUGGUACUACAUGUACAGGAUAGGUGGGAGGCUUUGAAACCAGGACGCCAGUUUUGGCGGAGCCAUCCUUGGGAU
rnacentral:rRNA from 1 species